rnacentral:rRNA from 1 species
UACGGGGGGAGCAAGCGUUGUUCGGAUUUACUGGGCGUAAAGGGCGCGUAGGCGGUCAGCACAAGUCAAUUGUGAAAUCUCCGAGCUUAACUCGGAAAGGUCAACUGAAACUGUGCGACUAGAGUGCGGAAGGGGCAACUGGAAUUCCUGGUGUAGCGGUGAAAUGCGUAGAUAUCAGGAGGAACACCUGUGGCGAAAGCGGCUCACUGGACCACAACUGACGCUGAGGCGCGAAAGCUAGGGGAGCAAACAGG